rnacentral:rRNA from 1 species
CAAGUCGAACGCGAAAGUGGAGCAAUCCAUGAGUAGAGUGGCAAACGGGUGGGUAACGCGUGGGUGACCUGCCUUCGAGCGGGGGAUAACGUUUCGAAAGGGACGCUAAUACCGCAUGACAUCCUGCCUUUGAACAGGUGGAGAUCAAAGCUGGGGAUCGCAAGACCUAGCACUCGAAGAGGGGCCCGCGUCUGAUUAGCUAGUUGGUGAGGUAACGGCUCACCAAGGCGACGAUCAGUAUCCGGCCUGAGAGGGCGGACGGACACACUGGGACUGAGACACGGCCCAGACUCCUACGGGAGGCAGCAGUGGGGAAUUGUUCGCAAUGGGCGCAAGCCUGACGACGCAACGCCGCGUGGAGGAUGAAGACCUUCGGGUCGUAAACUCCUUUCGAUCGAGACGAAUGGCCCUUGGGCUAAUCACCAGGGGAAUGACGGUACCGAGAGAAGAAGCCCCGGCUAACUCCGUGCCAGCAGCCGCGGUAAUACGGGGGGGGCAAGCGUUGUUCGGAAUUACUGGGCGUAAAGGGCUCGUAGGCGGCCAACUAAGUCAGACGUGAAAUCCCUCGGCUUAACCGGGGAACUGCAUCUGAUACUGGAUGGCUUGAGGUUGGGAGAGGGAUGCGGAAUUCCAGGUGUAGCGGUGAAAUGCGUAGAUAUCUGGAGGAACACCGGUGGCGAAGGCGGCAUCCUGGACCAAUUCUGACGCUGAGUGAGCGAAAGCCAGGGGAGCAAACGGGAUUAGAUACCCCGGUAGUCCUGGCCCUAAACGAUGAAUGCUUGGUGUGGCGGGUAUCGAUCCCUGCCGUGCCGAAGCUAACGCAUUAAGCAUUCCGCCUGGGGGAGUACGGUC